rnacentral:rRNA from 1 species
AUUGAACGCUGGCGGCAGGCCUAACACAUGCAAGUCGAGCGGAGCGGCGGACGGGUGAGUAAUGCCUAGGAAUCGGCCUGACAGUGGGGGGUAACGUCCGGAAACGGGCGCUAAUACCGAAUAAUCGCAGAUGAGCCUAGGUGGGAUUAGCUAGUAGGUGGGGUAAAGGCCUACCAAGGCGACGAUCCGUAACUGGGCUGAGAGGAUGAUCAGUCAAACUGGAACUGAGACACGGUCCAGACUCCUACGGGAGGCAGCAGUGGGGAAUAUUGGACAAUGGGCGCAAGCCUGAUGCAGCCAUGCCGCGUGUAUGAAGAAGGUCUUCGGGUUGUAAAGCACUUUAAGUUGGGAGGCGUUACCAACAGAAUAAGCACCGGCUAACUUCGUGCCAGCCGCCGCGGUAAUAC